rnacentral:ncRNA from 2 species
CUAACCGCCGCCGCAGAUGGUGCCCGCAAGGGCGAAGAGGGAAGCCGGUGCAAAUCCGGCGCUGUGCCCGCAACUGUAAGCCGGGAGCCGAGGGUCAAUAUGUCACUGGAAGCAUCCGCUUCCGGGAAGACGACCCGAAGGUGACGAUCGGCGAGCCAGGAGACCUGCCAUCGCGUCGUUCGCCGC